AUUUGCAGCUGGGUUCUGCUCAGGGUGUGUGGCUGCUCGGCCUCACUGCUGCUUUCCUGCACUGGAUGCGUGCACCUCCAGGAGUGUUGGUUCUUCUGCAUCUCAGGGAAGGAGACUCAUCCUCAUCUGCGCCCUUUUCAGCUGUGAAGGAAGUGUUGGUGCAGGGUCUCCAGGAGGGCCAUAGGUCCUAUGGGCCAACCUGGGCUCAUCCACGCAGAGCUCCUCCUGGCGCAGUGUGUCUGCCAUAUCCCAGAGAUCCUGAGACGUCUUGAAGGGUGAGAAUGGUAUCCCUGCACCUCUGGAUGCGUGGUGGCUCAGUGCUGCGGAGGUCUGUGGAGCAGCUCUGUGUGGGCUCUGCAGGAUUUACCUUUCUGC
rnacentral:lncRNA from 1 species